CCUACGGGAGGCAGCAGUGAGGAAUAUUGGUCAAUGGGAGAGAUCCUGAACCAGCCAAGCCGCGUGAGGGAAGACGGCCCUAUGGGUUGUAAACCUCUUUUGUCGGAGAAAAAACCCCGGGACGUGUCCCGGACAGCGUGUAUCCGAAGAAAAAGCAUCGGCUAACUCCGGGCCAGCGGCCGAGGUAAUACGGGGGAUGCGAGCGUAGUCCGGAUUUAUGGGGUUAAAGGGGUGCGUGGGCGGUCCGUUAAGUCAGCGGUAAAGUUGCGGGGCGAAACCCCGUCUAGCCGUUGAAACUGGCAGACUUGAGUAGGCGAGAAGUACGCGGAAUGCGCGGUGUAGCGGUGAAAUGCAUAGAUAUCGCGAAGAACUCCGAUUGCGAAGGCAGCGUACCGGCGCCAGACUGACGCUGAGGCACGAAAGCGUGGGGAUCGAACAGGAUUAGAUACCCCAGUAGUC
rnacentral:rRNA from 1 species